GACAGAGGUGCCGAGCGUUAGGCGGAAUCACUGGGCUUAAAGCGUGUGUAGGCGGACUUCUAAGUACCUUGUGAAAUCCCCCGGCUCAACCGGGGAACUGCUUGGUAUACUGGUUGUCUUGAGCCACUUAGGGGCAGUCGGAACAGACGGUGGAGCGGUGAAAUGCGUAGAUAUCGUCUGGAACGCCAAAGGUGAAAACAGACUGCUGGGAGUGUGCUGACGCUGAGACACGAAAGCCAGGGGAGCAAACGGG
rnacentral:rRNA from 1 species